rnacentral:rRNA from 1 species
CAUGGGAGGGCCGGCCGCAGCGGGUGACAGCCCCGUACGCGAACCCAGACCGGACGGCGCGACGCGGUCCCUGAGUAGGGCCGGGCACGUGAAACCCGGUCCGAACCUGGGUGGACCACCAUCCAAGCCUGAGUACUACCCUGUGACCGAUAGCGCACCAGUACCGUGAGGGAAAGGUGAAAAGCACCCCGGGAGGGGAGUGAAACAGUACCUGAAACCGUGCGCCCACGAGCAGUCGGAGCACCUUUAUGGUGUGACGGCGUGCCUUUUGUAGAAUGAGCCAGCGAGUCGCUGGCGCGGGGCGAGGUUAACCGAAAGGGAGCCGAAGCGAAAGCGAGCCUUAACAGGGCGACUUGAGUCCCGCGCCGCGGACGCGAAGCCGGGUGAGCUAUCCGUGGGCAGGCUGAAGCGGGGGUAAGACCCCGUGGAGGGCCGAACGCACGUCGGUUGAAAACGGCGGCGAUGACCUGCGGAUAGGGGUGAAAGGCCAAUCAAACCCGGAGAUAUCUCGUUCUCCCCGAAAUAGCUUUAGGGCUAGCGUCGCGCGUUCACCGCCGGAGGUAGAGCACCGGAUGGACGAGGGGGCUUCGCCGCCUACCGAAUCCAACCGAACUCCGAAUGCCGGCGGCCCAGAGCGCGGCAGUCAGAGCAUGUGGGCUAAGCUGUGUGCUCGAGAGGGAAACAGCCCGGACCGCCCGCUAAGGUCCCCAAGUUCCAGCCGAGUGGCAAAGGAUGUGCGUCCGCCCAGACAACCAGGAUGUUGGCUUAGAAGCAGCCAUCCAUUCAAAGAGUGCGUAACAGCUCACUGGUCGAGUGGACAUGCGCCGACAAUACACGGGGCUAAGCUGGACACCGAAGCGGCGGGAUUUUAAUUCAUUAGAAUCGGUAGGGGAGCUUCCCAUGGGCGGAGAAGCCGGAGGGCGACCGACGGUGGAGCGCAUGGGAGUGAGAAUGCUGGCAUGAGUAGCGAGAGACGAGAGAGUAACUCGUCCGCCGUGAACCCGAGGUUUCCUGGGCAAGGCUAAUCCUCCCAGGGUCAGUCGGGGGCUAAGGCGAGGCCGGGAGGCGUAGCCGACGCGCAGCAGGCAGACAUUCCUGCACCGCGCACGCGGCGCUACGACCGACGGGGCGACGGAUGGGGGUGGCUCGGCGGGGUUCUGGACGUCCCCGUGAUGGAGCGCGGCCCGCGGACCAGGGAAAUCCGGUCCGCAGAAGGGCGAGGCUCCGGACGAAGCGACUGAGCGAAGCGAGUGAGCCCGAGGUCCCUAGAAAAACCCCUAGGCAGGCGCGUGCGCGCCCGUACCGCAAACCGACACAGGUGGGUGGGUAGAACAUACCGAGGCGAUCGGGUCAACCAUGGUCAAGGAACUCGGCACAAUGGCCCCGUAACUUCGGGAGAAGGGGUGCCCGCGCGUACGUGAACCGGCUCGCCCGGGGAGCGGAGGCGGGCCGCAGUGGAGAGGCCCAAGCGACUGUUUACCAAAAACACAGGACUCUGCAGAAGCCGCAAGGCGACGUAUAGGGUCUGACGCCUGCCCGGUGCCGGAAGGUCACGCGGAGGAGUUAGCCGAUUCGGCGAAGCCCCGAAGCCAAGCCCCGGUAAACGGCGGCCGUAACUAUAACGGUCCUAAGGUAGCGAAAUUCCUUGUCGGGUAAGUUCCGACCUGCACGAAAGGCGCAACGACUUGGGCGCUGUCUCGACCAUGGACCCGGUGAAAUUGCACUGGUCGUGAAGAUGCGACUUACCCGCGGAAGGACGGAAAGACCCCGUGAACCUUCACUGCAGCUUGGCAUUGGCCGCUGGUCCCGCGUGUAGAGGAUAGGCAGGAGGCAUCGAUCCGGAGGCGCCAGCCCCC